GAUGAAGAACGCAGCGAAAUGCGAUAAGUAGUGUGAAUUGCAGAAUUCAGUGAAUCAUCGAAUCUUUUAACGCACAUUGCGCCCCUUGGUAUUCCAUGGGGCAUGCCUGUUCGAGCGUCAUUUGUACCUUCAAGCUCUGCUUGGUGUUGGGUGUUUGUCUCGCCUCUGCGUGUAGACUCGCCUCAAAACAAUUGGCAGCCGGCGUAUUGAUUUCGGAGCGCAGUACAUCUCGCGCUUUGCACUCAUAACGACGACGUCCAAAAGUACAUUUUUACACUCUUGACCUCGGAUCAGGUAGGGAUACCCGCUGAACUUAAGCAUAUCAAUAAGCGGAGGA
rnacentral:misc_RNA from 1 species